rnacentral:rRNA from 1 species
CCUACGGGUGGCAGCAGUGGGGAAUAUUGGACAAUGGGGGGAACUCUGAUCCAGCGAUGCCGCGUGCGUGAAGACGUCUCUCGGUGUGUAAAGCUCUUUUUGCAGGGAAGAAAACGCAGAUACGUGUAUAUGUCGGACAGGCUAAUUACGUGCCAGCAGCCGCGGUAAUACGGAGGGGGCAAGCGUUAUCCGGAUUUUCUGGGUGUAAAGGGAGCGUAGUCGGUGUAGCAAGUCAGAGGUGAAAUGUCGGGGCUCAACCCCGGGACUGCAUUGGAAACUGUUGAACUGGAGAGCAGUAGGGGUAGGCGGAAUUCCUGGUGUAGCGGUGAAAUGCUUAGAGAUCAGGAGGAACACCAGUGGCGAAGGCAGCUUAC